rnacentral:rRNA from 3 species
GCCUACGACCAUACCAUGCUGAAUAUACCGGUUCUCGUCCGAUCACCGAAGUCAAGCAGCAUAGGGCUCGGUUAGUACUUGGAUGGGAGACCGCCUGGGAAUACCGAAUUCCCCGAGGAA